UACGUAGGGUGCGAGCGUUUAAUCGGAAUUACUGGGCGUAAAGCGUGCGCAGGCGGUUCGUUGUGUCGGCGGUGAAAGCCCCGGGCUUAACCUGGGAAUGGCCGUUGAAACUGGCGAACUGGAGUGUGGCAGAGGGGGGUGGAAUUCCGCGUGUAGCAGUGAAAUGCGUAGAGAUGCGGAGGAACACCGAUGGCGAAGGCAAUCCCCUGGACCUGUACUGACGCUCAUGCACGAAAGCGUGGGGAGCAAACAGG
rnacentral:rRNA from 1 species